rnacentral:rRNA from 1 species
CGGGGUGCACCAGGCGCGAAAACUCUACAAUGCAGGCAACUGCGAUAGGGGAACAUCGAGUGAUCCUCAUAUUGGGGGUCUGUCCACCCGUCUAAAAAACGGGUGUUAGCAAGGGCCGGGCAAGACCGGUGCCAGCCGCCGCGGUAAUACCGGCGGCUCGAGUGGUGGCCGAUAUUAUUGAGUCUAAAGGGUCCGUAGCCGGCUUUGCAAGUCUCUCGGGAAAUCCAGCGGCUUAACCGUUGGUCGUCCGGGGGGUACUACAUUGCUUGGGACUGGGAGAGGUAGGAGGUACUCAGGGGGUAGGAGUGAAAUCCUGUAAUCCUUUGGGGACCACCGGUGGCGAAGGCGUCCUACCAGAACAGGUCCGACGGUGAGGGACGAAAGCUAGGGGCACGAACCGGAUUAGAUACCCGGGUAGUCCUAGCCGUAAACGAUGCUCGCUAGGUGUCACAACAGUCGUGAACUGUUGUGGUGCCGUAGGGAAGCCGUGAAGCGAGCCACUUGGGAAGUACGACCGCAAGGUUAAACUUAAAGGAAUUGGCGGGGGAGCACAAGGGCGAAUCGCGG